CCUGGUGGCAAUAGCGGACGGGUCCCACCCGAUUCCAUUCCGAACUCGGAAGUGAAAACGUCCAGCGCCGAUGGUAGUUCGGGGUCUCCCCGCGCGAGAGUAGGUCACCGCCAGGC
rnacentral:rRNA from 3 species